UCCAAGCCAUUAAAUUCUUUCCAGGCGAGAUAAGGGUCCCGCCCGUCCCACCCAGGGUGUGUCACGUGUAGGGGGGAGGUUCAGACGGACAGAGCAGGAGAGCCUGGAAGGGGGAUUGGAGCGAAGACGGAGCCCCUGUGCCCCCCUGGAGGCAUCGCGCAGUCAUCCCAGCCCCACUGAACCCCUCGACCUGCAGAGAGACUGCCGGGAAACCCAGGGUGAGGGGAUGGGGCCCGCAGGAGAAACUCACCCUUCGGAAGGAGACAACGUAAAAUGUGUCUUCCCGUCGGUCAAUUGCAUCCAGGAACUCGGGCUGCGAACGGUCUGGUUGGCGGUACAGCUGCAGCUGGCCCACAGAAUCCCUGACAGGGGAUCUUCCCCAACCCAGGGAUCAAACGCAUGUCUCUUGGGUCUCCUGCACUGGCAUGCGGAUUCAACUGGGAAACCUGGCUUCCCCUCAAAAAGGAAAGGUAACUUUAGGGGAGAAGACACACUCAGCACCUCUAAAACAGAGAGGGCCCUCUCCUAACC